rnacentral:rRNA from 1 species
GACCGAUAGUGAACCAGUACCGUGAGGGAAAGGCGAAAAGAACCCCGGCGAGGGGAGUGAAAAAGAACCUGAAACCGUGUACGUACAAGCAGUGGGAGCACCUUCGGGUGUGACUGCGUACCUUUUGUAUAAUGGGUCAGCGACUUAUAUUCUGUAGCAAGGUUAACCGUAUAGGGGAGCCGCAGGGAAACCGAGUCUUAACUGGGCGUUAAGUUGCAGGGUAUAGACCCGAAACCCGGUGAUCUAGCCAUGGGCAGGUUGAAGGUUGGGUAACACUAACUGGAGGACCGAACCGACUAAUGUUGAAAAAUUAGCGGAUGACUUGUGGCUGGGGGUGAAAGGCCAAUCAAACCGGGAGAUAGCUGGUUCUCCCCGAAAGCU